rnacentral:SRP_RNA from 1 species
CCGUGCUAGACGGGGAGUUAGCGGUGCCCUAUACCUGCAAACCGCUAUAGCAGGGUACAAUUCCCGUCAGAGGCCAUUAUUGGUUGAAGCAGCCAGCGUCAAGUAGUGUUGACGGUCGAGUCUUACGCAAUGAGAAUUUGUGAACCCCGUCAGGUCCGGAAGGAAGCAGCGGUAAGCGAAACCUUUCAUGUGCCGUAAGUAUACCUGACCUGAGCUAACUGAUACUACAGCGUUUGGUCAAUUUGUUCGAAGACGGGUGCACGG